AGAGUUUGAUCAUGGCUCAGGACGAACGCUGGCGGCGUGCUUCACACAUGCAAGUCGAGCGGAAAGGCCCUUCGGGGUACUCGAGCGGCGAACGGGUGAGUAACACGUGAGUAACCUGCCCUUAGCACCGGGAUAGCUCCGGGAAACCGGAAUUAAUACCGGAUAUGACCACGAUCGGCAUCGGUCGUGGUGGAAAGGAUUCCGGCUAGGGAUGGACUCGCGGCCUAUCAGCUAGUUGGUUGGGGUAACGGCCCACCAAGGCGACGACGGGUAGCCGGCCUGAGAGGGCGACCGGCCACACUGGGACUGAGACACGGCCCAGACUCCUACGGGAGGCAGCAGUGGGGAAUAUUGCGCAAUGGGCGAAAGCCUGACGCAGCGACGCCGCGUGAGGGAUGAAGGCCUUCGGGUUGUAAACCUCUUUCAGCAGGGACGAAGCGCAAGUGACGGUACCUGCAGAAGAAGCGCCGGCUAACUACGUGCCAGCAGCCGCGGUAACACGUAGGGCGCAAGCGUUGUCCGGAAUUAUUGGGCGUAAAGAGCUCGUAGGCGGUCCGUCACGUCCGCUGUGAAAACCCAGGGCUCAACCCUGGGCUUGCAGUGGAUACGGGCAGACUAGAGGUAGGUAGGGGAGAAUGGAAUUCCCGGUGUAGCGGUGAAAUGCGCAGAUAUCGGGAGGAACACCGGUGGCGAAGGCGGUUCUCUGGGCCUUACCUGACGCUGAGGAGCGAAAGCGUGGGGAGCGAACAGGAUUAGAUACCCUGGUAGUCCACGCUGUAAACGUUGGGCGCUAGGUGUGGGGUCCUUCCACGGAUUCCGUGCCGCAGCUAACGCAUUAAGCGCCCCGCCUGGGGAGUACGGCCGCAAGGCUAAAA
rnacentral:rRNA from 1 species